UACGAAGGGGGCUAGCGUUGUUCGGAAUUACUGGGCGUAAAGGGCGCGUAGGCGGCGACUCAAGUUAGAUGUGAAAGUCCUGGGCUUAACCUGGGGACUGCAUUUGAUACUGGGUUGCUUGAAUUCGGGAGAGGAUAGCGGAAUUCCCAGUGUAGAGGUGAAAUGCGCAGAUAUCAGGAAGAACACCCGUGGCGAAAGCGGCUCUCUGGAACGGUACUGACGCUGAGACGCGAAAGCGUGGGGAGCGAACAGG
rnacentral:rRNA from 1 species